rnacentral:rRNA from 1 species
GAUGAACGCUGGCGGCGUGCCUAAUACAUGCAAGUCGAGCGAACGGACGAGAAGCUUGCUUCUCUGAUGUUAGCGGCGGACGGGUGAGUAACACGUGGAUAACCUACCUAUAAGACUGGGAUAACUUCGGGAAGCCGGAGCUAAUACCGGAUAAUAUUUUGAACCGCAUGGUUCAAAAGUGAAAGACGGUCUUGCUGUCACUUAUAGAUGGAUCCGCGCUGCAUUAGCUAGUUGGUAAGGUAACGGCUUACCAAGGCAACGAUGCAUAGCCGACCUGAGAGGGUGAUCGGCCACACGGGAACGGAGACACGGUCCAGACUCCUACGGGAGGCAGCAGUAGGGAAUCUUCCGCAAUGGGCGAAAGCCUGACGGAGCAACGCCGCGUGAGUGAUGAAGGUCUUCGGAUCGUAAAACUCUGUUAUUAGGGAAGAACAUAUGUGUAAGUAACUGUGCACAUCUUGACGGUACCUAAUCAGAAAGCCACGGCUAACUACGUG